CGCCCGAUUAGUUAGUUGGUGAGGUAACGGGCUCACCAAGGCGAUGAUCGGUAGCUAGUCUGAGAGGAUGAUUAGCCACACGGGAACUGAGACACUGUCCCGACUCCUACGGGAGGCAGCAGUGGGGAAUCUUGCACAAUGGGGGAAACCCUGAUGCAGCGACGCCGCGUGAGCGAUGAAGCCCUUCGGGGUGUAAAGCUCUUUCGGCAGGGACGAUAAUGACGGUACCUGAAGAAGAAGC
rnacentral:rRNA from 1 species